rnacentral:rRNA from 1 species
GUUGUAUGGUUAAGUGACUAAGCGUAGACGGUGGAUGCCUUGGCAGUCAGAGGCGAUGAAGGACGUACUAACCUGCGAAAAGCGAUGGUGAGCUGGUAAGAAGCAUUUGAGCCAUCGAUGUCCGAAUGGGGAAACCCACCUGCAUAAGCAGGUAUCUUAGCGUGAAUACAUAGCGCUAAGAGGCGAACUCGGGGAACUGAAACAUCUAAGUACCCGAAGGAAAAGAAAUCAAUUGAGAUUCCGGCAGUAGCGGCGAGCGAACCCGGAGCAGCCCUUAAGCGGCUUAGGCGUUAGGUGAACAGGUUGGAAAACCUGGCAAUAAAGGGUGAUAGCCCCGUAACCGACGGCGCCUUAGACGUGAAAACGAGUAGGACGGGACACGUGAUAUCUUGUCUGAACAUGGGGGGACCAUCCUCCAAGGCUAAAUACUCCUGACUGACCGAUAGUGAACCAGUACCGUGAGGGAAAGGCGAAAAGAACCCCUGUGAGGGGAGUGAAAUAGAACCUGAAACCGUCUACGUACAAGCAGUGGGAGCCUCCUAGUGGGGUGACCGCGUACCUUUUGUAUAAU